GAAACCAUGGCACCAUGACUUAAUCUUUAGAGGAGCAAAUAAUAUCCCUGUUGGUUGGACUUAGUGUACAGGACCACCUUUUACCUUCACUCUGGCAAACUGAAAUGGAGACCUGGGUGUUUGGGCAUCUCUGAGCUGAGGGAACUGGACAGGAAAGAAAAACACGAAAGAGAACGCUGCUUAUUUCUAGGCAGUGGACUUAUGGUCUGUUUAGAAACCAAUCUGAAAAUGUGAUGACUUGAGGAGGUGUGAUUCCUGUCUUCUAUGUGCGACACAAAACGAAACCUUAGAGAAAGAAGACCUUCAAAUGAUAAAGCCACAAAGAUGUGUCCUGAGGGAUGGUACAACUGGACGAUGUCCUGCCUGUGACUCAAAUUGUGGAACACCGGGUUGAACAUAAGCUCCCGGAAUGCUUCCAGAUAGAAAAUGGAUUCAACCACAGAAUAUCAAUAAUGAGAAUUGCCUAGAGGUCUCAUGGAGGAUCCAUAUGCCAGGAAACCAUGAUGCCAUGACUUGAUCUUUAGAGGAGCAGAUAUCCCUGUAGGUUGGACUGAGUGUAUGUGGCUACCUUUUACCAUCACUCUGGCAAACUGAAAUGGAGUCCUGGGUGUCUGGGCAUCUCUGUGCUGAGGAAAUUGGACUGGAAAGAAAGACAGGAGACAGAACGCUGCUCAUCUCUAGGAGUGGACUUAUUGAGAAAGAAGACCUUCAAAUGAUAAAGCCACAAAGGUGUUUCCUGAGGGAUGGUACCACUGGAGGAUGUCCUGCCCGUGACUCAAAUUGUGGACUACCAGGUUGAACAGAAGCUCCCAGAAUGCUUCCAGAUAGGAAAUGGGUUCAACUACAGAAUAUCAAUAAUGAGAAUUGCCUAGAGGUCUCAUGGAGGAUCCGUAUGCCAGGAAACCAUGGCACCAUGACUUGAUCUUUAGAGGGUGCAACAAAUCUCUAUCUUUCGGCAGAGGGAAUAAUAUCCGUGUCAGUUGAGUAGAGUGUAUGCGGCCGCCUUUGAUCAUCACGUUCACAAACCAAAAUGGAGUCCUGGGUGUCUGGCCAUCUCUGUACUGAGAAAACUGGACUGGAAAGAAAGAAGAGAACACUGCUCAUUUCUAGGCAGUGGACUUACGGGGACUGGAUGCUCCUGAUAGCACGUCCAAAGAACAUGAGAUGAAGUGUCACCAUCCUCGCUUCUAAGAAGCAUCCUGGCUGUAAUUUUUCCAAGACAGAUUUGUUUAUAUAUCAGGCCACUGCUGAGUUGCCUUCCCAGAGGUCUCCCCAAGAAGCAACAACCAUGGAAACCUUGGCUUCCAAAACAGUAUCCGCUUGAUGGCAGUAUAACACCAGAAAUACCAGGACAUCAUACUCCGCCCUUUGCUAUUAAAAAAAACGGCAACCAGUCUCCAGCUUCCCUAAAGUAUGGGUCCAGCUUAACUGAGACCUCAAGAAAUAGACUGCAUCCCUGCACAGAGUUCACCCACCCAGCACCCGACUGCCCACCGGGGAACAUUCCAACUUGAGCUUUCUUAACGCUAACUGAAAAGCCAUUUUGAUAUGAAUUUCAACUUCGUUCCUCUUUUGGAAAAUAUACACCUACAGUUCAUGGAUGCUGCCAAGAAUCAGAUCUUAGAGAACCAGAUGCUCUGAAAUAUAAUGAUACCAAAUACCCACUUCCAUCACGUUGAUUCUGACUCAUAGCACCCCUAUAGGACAGAGUAGAGCUGCCCCAUAGGCUUUCCAAGGCUGUAAUCUUUAUGGAAGCAGACUGUCAUAUCUUUCUAGAGUGGAAAGGCUUGAACCAACAACCUUUUGAUUAGCAGCUGAGCACUUUAACCACUGCACCACCACAGCUCCUCAAGAUACUUUUCUACCAUAUUGGAAAACCACUCAAUCCUACACCAAUGUCACCAUGCCGUACAUCUACAUUGGGAGCCUCUCCUUGAGAUUUUCUCGACUCCAUUUUUAUAAGAUGACAGACUUCACUGUCAUGUACAAUCUGUUUUUGAAAGGAGAAUGAACAGAAAAAAGUACACUCACCAAAACA